rfam:Triticum aestivum genome assembly, contig: Triticum_aestivum_CS42_TGACv1_scaffold_222168_3B
CUCAUACUCCCUUCAUUCGGAAUUACUUGCCGCGAAAAUGGAUGUAUCUAGAUGUAUUUUAGUUAUAGAUACAUCUAUUUCCGAGACAAGUAAUUUCGAACAGAGGGAGUAUAAC